GCCCAUCAAUAUAGCUUAGACGUUAGUUUUGCUUGUCUCGUUGGUUAGCCGAAGGCCUCGAGCGGUGAGUUGUGAUGAAGCGGAUCGCCAGGGGCCCGUCCUAAGGCAGCGGUUGCUGCGAGGGACGACUGAAGCGUGAUUGUCAGUUCCUGAUCCUCAAGAGGACUUCUCGUCUUAGUCCAUGACUGCUAAGCUUACUCAGGAGUCUUUGAUGAGGUACCUUGUUAAAAGCGUUUUGAAAGUCGAAGUACACUAUGUCCACUGGAUCACCUUUAUCUAUAUGCUUGCUGACUCUCAAAAAAACUCUUAAUAGAGUCAGUGGAAAAGUGAGGUAUCAGUGACUAUCCUCCCUCAGCUCCAGACAACAUGGCAAGCAGGAAGGGAGGAUGGGAGUCAUCCAACAAAUAUGGGGAGGACCGGAGUUUCCUAUUCCUGGUCCCAGAGGGUCGAUGGAAGUGUGUUAGUGAAUUUGAAGCAGUUGUGAGUUCCAGAGUCCUUUGUAUCUUCACAGAAGACGUUGAGGGCACACUUCUUCAAGGCUGCCAGCCAGCUGUGUUGGAAACUUUGUACACCAAAAGCAAAGCAAAAGUGUAAUAUAAUUCAGCCCAGAAUAAACUGUGCAUUAUGACUUUUGAUCAAACUGUAAAACUAGAGGCAUUAAAAUGACAAAAAGUAUUAAGCAUCAGAAAAUGGAAUAGAGAAUUAGAACAAGAAUCUAAUAAAUUUGUGCAGAAGUUAAGAAUACACAGUAGAUUAAGUUAGCGUAUUUGCUAUUUUAUUUUAUUUGUAUUUGUUUUGAUGGUGCACCAACUAGAUUUACCAAUAGAUGUCUCUUGCUACAGUAGGCACUAAAGAAGUGUGGUUGAAAGUAGUGAGUUAAGACUAUAACGUUCAUAUUAGUAAGAAUUUGUGUCUGAGUCAAGCCCUCUCCUUAGGAUUUACUAGCAAGUAUUUAACAAAAUUUAUAUACUGCUUGAUUGUAAAAAAAGCGCCUGUAAGCGGUUUACAAUAUAUGUGUCUCCAUCUUAUCCCAAAACAUAGCCAUCUGUUCCAUUUUGUAAAAAACGUUGAAGUCUGAGAACUUGCUCUGGCAGCACAAUCUUAUGCAUAUUUACUCAGAAAUAAGCCCCACUGUGUUAAUUGGGACCUACUCUCAGGUAUGUAUGUGUACACAGGAUUGCAACCUCAAUGAUUCUUCCAAUCAUCUGCACUGGUGUUGCUAGCUACCAAACCAACUGUGAAAUUUCUUGAUGCAAAUAUUAACCUUGAGUUGAAAACCUCUACUUUUAUUUCUGACUGGAAAAUCUUCUAGGGCCAGUAGUAGAUGAAUUACAAUUGAUAACAUAAAACCUCAAAAGUUCUGAGCCAAUUUAAAUGUUAACAUUUACGGGAAGGGGGCAAAUCACAAAUUUGGUUAACAGCUUAAAUUGACUGGAUAUUGUUGAUUUGCAGAUUUGUUCAGAAAAAAAUCCUGCAAACUAUAACAAGACCCAACUGCAUUGUUGCAAGUUCUAAAAAUUCUCACUUGAAGCAAAGGGUCUUCAAGUGAGCUGGGAGGCAUACAAGAUAGAAUGCUAAAUGAAUGGAUGUAUUAAUAGGGAGAGGGCAAACUGAGGGUACUGGAACUAGUUUCCACCCAAGAUCUAGGGGCAAAGUAGAGAAGAAAGAGAGGGGAUUAAAACACAUCUCAUAAAAUGAAGUACUUUACACCCAAUUACCUCAUGGCUCAGGUAAAGAGCAGCAAGCUGGGAGGAAGAUAAAGGUAAAGAUGUCCCCGCACUUGUAAUGCGAGUAGUUUCUGACUCUUAGGGUGACGUCUUGCGAUGUUUACUAGGUAGACCAUAUAUAUGGGGUGGGAUUGCCAGUUCCGUCCCCGGCCUUUCUUUACCCCCCCAGCAUAUGCCGGGCACUCAUUUUACCGACCACAGAUGGAUGGAAGGCUGAGUGGACCUCUACUCCUUUUACCGGAGAUUCGACUUCCUCCUUUUCGUUGGAAUCGAACUCUGGCCGUGAGCAGAGCUUCGGCUGCGUUACCACCGCUUACCACUCUGAGCCACGGAGCAUAAUCUCAGAAAGUAAACAAAAGCUAGAAGUGGUAUAGUCAAUUACUUCUUGGUCUGAAGUGAAGAAUCUGGAGUCUUAAAAGAAAAGGGUGCUCUAGGUUUUAGCACUUUAAAGAAGCAGAUAACACGUUCAGCCCAUCCGCUAACAAGCUACCAAAAAUAUCCCAACCCUUUCAAGAACUUCAAAAAGAUAUAUAGAGAAGUGGCUCCUUAUGAGUUGUGCUAGCAAUUUUAAGAAGCUCAUGUAUUCCCACAAAAGGCCAAUCUUUUUCCACGCCUCCGAAAAUGAUUUCAUAUUGUAUUGCUAUGACUGUACCACUUCAGAAUAGAGGUGACAACUGCAUGAUUUAGUGCUCUCCCAAGUCAACAACCCCAUGAACAUAUAAAACUAGAUUAUCAGGAAGAAGGCAAGGCUAAAACAUGUUUUCCUGAUCAAGAACAUUCAAGAACUCCCUGACAUUAAUUACUUACCAGCCUGCAUUGUGAAGUAGUACAAUCCACAAAAAGUCACACCACUAUGACCAUAGAAAGCGGUGUUAUACACAGGUCAACAUUGCUCCAUAUAGUUCACAAUCGCCCAUACAGACUGGCAGCAGCUCUUGGGGUUUCAGGUGCGUCUUUCCCAGCCCUACCUGGAGAUGCUGGGGUUUAAAGUAGGGGCCACUCUUACAUGCAAACUGUGAGCUCUACCACUGAGCUACAACCUUUCCUUCAGUUUUUCUGAAUGUGAAGAUGAGCCCAAAUUGUAACUCAUGUUAUUAAGAUGCAUUAGGUACAAAAAGGAGCCUCAUACUUUAUCAUAGCAGCAUUUUGUCUUGCAGCCUGUUCAUACUUUUAAAGCUGAAAGGGCAGUAUAGCAUGUACUGUUAAAAAUGCCAACAGUUGAAGUUAUAAGUUAACUGGCCAUGUUAACUCCAUGUUAACUCUUUUUAAAACUUAUGAGGCUUAGCAGGCUGGGCAAACUCAACAAGGCUGCAUCAAGCUCAGUAAUCCAAGUGCUAAUAACAAAAUAAUAAAAACUCUACAAUACAGCCCUAAUGCAUAAUUGUGCAUUAGUACACACAUUUCAUCAAGGGGCUUUUUAGCAGUAAUUAUGCAAGUGCUUAAAAAGUAUAGUGAUUAUUGUAUGAUUAUGUACCGCUUCUCUUCAAAAUCUCAAAAAGUCCAAGUUUCUGACUGUUCCCCUUCGUGGUUGUGGAUUAAAGCAUAAAAAUAUGCAUGUAGUUUCAGCUAAACUGGAUUCCUUCAGAGGUGAGGUAGGUCACACACACUCUUUGCCUUCCAUCCUUGCAAAUACCUGUCUGCUGUUCCUUUCCAGAGCUUUCAGGUUGCAAAACAAACUGUCAAAAAUACACCCAGUGGUUACAAGCAUGUAAAAGCAUUCUAACUGAUGUUUGUUAGUGUGUGGUGGCGUUGGUUGUUUUUUAACAAACUUUCCCUAAUUACUGGUCUAUCUCUUUUUAUAUAGCAAGGAAGCAGUGGGGUCUCUGAAGUUUAUCACACAACUGUAUUGUGAGCAAAGUACCUGUCAAUGCAAGAUAAUAUGACAAGAGAAGUUCAUUGCAUGUUUAACCACUACAUGAACUACUCAUCCAAGUUCACUUCCAAAGUGAUUCUGAAAAUUCAAAAUCAAGAUUGUGUCUUAACUUAAAGUUCUAAGCAUUUUGUUCUAUGUAAGAGUAUUCACUUUCUUGCAAGAUUAAGUAUUUCGAAAAUUAUCUUAGAAGUUCUGAGGUUAGUUUUCUUUUAAGAGACCGAAAAAUAAAACUCAUUAUUAUUAUGAACCUUUAUUAAGUGGCUCACAUUUCAAUAUAAAUCACACUAAAAAGAUUUUUUUAAAAAAAGCUAUUUACACUACAGUGCUGACACAUUAAAAAGAAAAAAGAAAUUGGUAUAAAUAAGCUCUAUGGAAAAGCCUGGAAUUGUCAAAAAGAAUUCUGGCUUAUCUUACAAAAAAUAUAUGUUAAAUGUCAGCUCUAGUCUAAAACCUACAACUCAUAUUUAAAGACUUAUUUAUGUUACACCUGCAGUGUUUACAGUGCAUCUGGCCCUAAGUGCUUUGAUACUUUCACAGUUAUGGACAGGCACUGAGGAAUGUUACAAAGCUACAUAAACUAUUUUUCUGUAACAGAUGUGAGGCAAGUAACAAACCUACCUCACAGAAUUUAAGCAUCUUUACAUUAUUAUGUUUAAAAAGGAAUUUAAAAAUAUAUACACACAAUAACUUCAACACAAAAAGUCAUCUUCUUGUUUGCCAUGCAGACUUGGAUAUGCUGAACCGCUUUGUCUCGUAUCCUCCAAAUUGAUAUGACCUUCUGGACACAAGCUGCUCUGUAAGUCUUUGUCUUCAAGUUCAAAUUUAGACACAGUUUCAAACUUAGACCCUGUCAACUGACCAUGAUCCAGCUUUACUUUAACAUUCUGACAUUCCAUAACAUUAGGCGCUAUUGUCUUUACAGGAAGAUUAACAAUAACUGGUUCCUCUUUAUUUCGGAGAGAUGCAGCAGGUUCAUGUUGCGUGCAUGGUAAUUCCUGUUUGACAAAUUUAGUUUGCAGGCUGCCUGAAAAUUUGGUGUCUUCAGAGACAUUUAUAGUUGCUGUAUGCAUUACAUUGUCAAUUUGAAGUCCUGUAACAGAAGUUGUGUGAUCUGUUGGUAGGCCCGUUUCAUAGAUGCUUGGAUUAUCUCCCUCUGAAUGAUAAAGCUUGAGCCGAACAUGCCAAGCCAAACUGCACACGGCUGAAACUGUCUUAAAUUGAUGUACAACAUUCCUUGGAAUAAAAUAAAUAUCAUUAUCAUACAACUGAAUUCUGGCAUAUCGAAUGCCUUCCCUUCGUAAUUGGUUAAGUUUUGCAUCGUCAACCCACUGGACACACUAGAAAGAAAAAGAAAAUUAAUACAUGUUUUUAGAUCAUGACAAUUCUCUGUGAAAAUGACAGUCUUUCAAAACACUUACCUGUGAAAGUGGAGGUUCAUGCAGAUCUAGUUGCAUUCGUUGAACUACCUCUAAGAAAUCUUCCGCAUGAAAGCAAAUUACAUCUUUGGUUAUACGAGGUUGUUCAGACCUAUACAAAGGGGGGAACAAGUGUUGCCAUCAGGGUUAAUAUUAAAAUUAACCAAUUGUUUGCUGAUUUCUGGAUAGAGCAACUGAAGUAACUUAUAUACACGUAGUAGCAACACAGAGUAGCACCUAACAAGUGAUCUGUGUUUUCUCACGCAGAUAUAAAUCCACAGUUGGACUUAUCCAAAAUGGGCUAUUGAACUGUAGUCCAGGAGUACUUAUCAAUGGUUCCUUCUCAAAGCGGGAGGAGGUAAUGAGCAGGAUACUGCAAGGUGUAGUCCUGCUCUUCAACAUUUUUAUUAAUGACUUAGAUGAGGAUGUGCAGGGAAUACUUAUCAAAUUGCAGAUGAUACAAAAUUGGAAUACCCUGGAGGACAGAAACAAAAUUCAAAGUGACCUUGAUUUAAUAGGGAUAAGUACAAAGUUCUACACCUAGGAAAAAGAAACCAACUGCACAGUUAUAAGAUGGGGGAUGUUUGGCUCAGCUAUACUACAUGCAAGGGGGAUUAUUGAUCACAAACUGAAUAUGAGCCUACGAUGCAAUGCAAUUGCAAAAAAAGGCAAAUGCUAUUUUAGGCUGCAUUAACAGAAGUACAGUUUCCAAAUUGCGUGAAGUACUGGUUCCCCUCUGGCACUGGUUAAGUCUCAUCUCGAGUACUGAGCUCAGUUCUGGACACCACACUUUUAGAAGGAUGCAGACAUCUGGAACAGGUUCAGAGGAGGGCAACAAGGAUGAUCAGGAGACUGGAAACAAAGCCCUUUGAAAGAACUGGGCAUGUUUAGCCUUGAGAAGACUGAGGGGGGAUGUAAUAGCGCUCUUCAAGUACUUGAAAGGUUGCCACACAGAGGAGGGCCAGGAUCUCUUCUUGAUCAUCCCAGAGUGAAGGACGUAGAAUAAUGGGCUCAAGUUACAGGAAGCCAAAUUUUGCCUGAACAUCGGAAAAAGUCCUGUUAGAGCAGUAUGAUAAUGGAACCAAUUACCAAGGGAGGUGGUGGGCUCUCCAACACUGGAGUCAUUUCAAGAGGCAGCUGGACAGUCACCUGUUGGGUAUGCUUUAACUUGAAUUCCUGCAUUGAGCAGGGAGUUGGACUCAAUAGCCUUAUAGGCCCCUUCCAACUCUACUAUUCUAUGAUUCUAUAACAGAGUGGUAUGCACCUGAAAACCUGUUAAAACUUCCUUGUACAAAACAUAUCCUUUUGUCAGAGCAAAAAGCAUAGUAAGCAUACAAUUAAUACCAAUCAAAUAUAUGCCAGCUGUCUAGUUAAAUAAAAAGACUCAAAUCCAGCUUAAGCAAUCUGAAGAGAAAUCUUAAACUUUUCUACACACUAUGUUAUAAUCCAUAAGCUCUGCUCAUGGCCAGAGUUUGAUUCCAACAGAAGGAGGAAGUCGAAUCUCCGGUAAAAGGGGUCGAGGUCCACUCAGCCUUCCAUACAUCUGUGGUCGGUGAGUACCCGGCAUAUGCUGGGGAGUAAAGAAAGGCCGAGGAAGGAAC